ACAAAUCUAUACUAUAUUAAAAAGGAUAUAUAAUCAACAGGGAGAGUGUCCACGUCGGACAAGAAAAUUGACCAAUCACGUUAUAACGUUUUGACAUGUCAUCUGGGCUUUGCGUCAUCUGGAGACCCGAGAAAAUACCCACCCGAGCUUGCCCUUUCUCAGAUCUUGGCUGAAAUCCAGUUUCUCUUCGAUCGGCAGAGGGACGAUCCAGUUUCUGUAAUGUUGCGUUGUGAUUUAUUCAUCUUAAAUCGUUCGCAAUCCCACUACGAAACUUUCGUUUGCGUUGUUCGUCGUCAAGAUCGUGUAUAAAUAUGCUCCACUGCCGUCCCUCCGAUCGCUGACACACGUCGUCCCUCCAAUCUUUCAGCCCAAUCGCUUCUGUAAUUAGAUACGUUAAUGGCAGCGGCAGCUGCGUCACGGUUUCUGAUGUUUGGUGCGGUAAAGGAUUAGGGUUCUCGACGGAUGCGGUGUCGAUGGAUCCUCCGAGGAGGUAAAGAUGGAUCUUCCGCCGUCGCGUCGCAAAAUCGACGUGGACAAGAACAGUUCAAACCAAACAGAGGUACUUACUUAUAUUACUCUAAACAGUGGCUUGAAUCGAUCGAUUUGGUGAUGCUGAUUAUCACCAGGAGACAAGCUUCUUCUCAGAGUUAGGGGAGCUCCGCUUGCUCUGAUUCAUGUCUCCUCUGAUCCUUUGCCUCACCUUAGUAUCAAAAACACACCAAUCUUUAGUCUCUCUCUCACUUUCUACAAAGAUCUCACCUUUUUCGAUUUUGGUUGGUGGAAAGUGACAUCGUGUUAAUGUUCUUGCAGGAGACAUCAUCUGCGCAAUCAACGGUACACUGCUGCUUCCAAUGGACAGAAGCUUCAAAACUAUAUAAUAAGCGUUUAUGGGGAAGCUCAAGAUGAUCACUAAACACAUGGAAGCUGAUAUUGAAGAGAGUCUGAUGUUCUAUCAGGCUUGCUAUUGAGUGGAUUUUUUCCAUGAUUUUUUUCCAAAGCCGGAAUUCUCCUAUUCCAUAUUAUAUCUGACUUCAUAAGAAAAGUGGACUUGAUGCCACUGGAUAUGCCAGUGAGAUGCAAUGGAUUGUAGGGUAUUUGGUAGUCAGUAAUGUGAAUAUGGAAGAAGGUGCCCGCUGAGUUGUUAAUAUCUCAAUCCUGCAAUUUUGCAAACCAAGUUUAACACCAAGGUGAAAAUUACCAGGGCCAGCCGACCAGAUCUUGGGAAGAAGAAAUCAGAAGUAAUACUCGCCCAAGUAUAGCAUCCGAGCUUCUUUACUGGAGCUUCCAGAAGAAAAGGGCAGGACGUACGAGGCCAUGGGUGUAGGCACUGAACAUGUGUUCUUCCUCGCAAAUGAUGCCAAUUUAUUGGCAAGGGUGCUGAAUUAAAGUUUCCGACAAAUUUGCUAAUGAGUGAUAUCGUUGCUUUUUUUAACAAUGAGAAACCCUUCAGUCAAUGAGAAACCCUUCAGUCAAUGAUAUUAUUUGAGCUCUUGGUUAAAGGUGAAACUGCCCAAGGAAUGAUAAAAGCAAAAGACUUGGUUUAGGCAAAGUAUAUGCUAUUCAGAGAAAAGUUUACUCGGAGCCAUUUUGAAGAGAAAGUAUAUGAAGAAAGCUCUUUAAGAUAAUGGUUUCUCUUGCUGAUUCCAGACAGUAAAGAAAUAAAAGGCCCCACUACCAUCCUCUAAACCCCGCCAAAUCCGGAGGUGGAACACAGAAGAAGGUGAACAGCAUGGUUCUCUUCGAUCAGGAAACUAACAACAAGCUUCGGUCUAAAGCUCCUAUGUUCAAGUUGAUCAAUCAAUCCCUUCUAUUCUGCUGGCGUUUUCAUUUACUGGUUCUUUCCGAUGAGUGGAGUAGGAAGCUAAAGUGACAGGAGUCGUUCGACGACAAAACAGAGAGGUAUCUAAGGAGGAAGAGGAAGCGAGAGAAAAAAGUGAAAGGGGUCUUAGACCUCCUAAGCAAGAAUCUUCAAGCUUUGUGAAUGUUUUGGAACUGAUUUAGUUCACGGAGUCACAACUGCUGUCUGAAAUUGAGAAGCGUCUUGCACCACAAAACAUUACCCUAGACGUCAUUCACAGAUGUGACACCACCCUGCACAUUUAAGUAUCUAAGCUUUAUCUCCAUUUCUCCUGUUGGUAGUUUAUCAGUGAAUCCUUAACUCGAGACAGUACAAACCAGUUGGUAGUUUGUUCAGGACUUUCUUCAAAUAGUUCAAACCAGUUGGAAAAGUGCCCAUCAGCGACGGCCGUAAGCUCCAUCUCCUGAGUUUUCAUAGUACAUUCCAUGACGUUCAAGCAUAUGUGAUGGUUUGUUCUUUGUCAAUGAUAUAUGUUUCUGUGUCUGUCAAAACCUUUUGUCAAACUCUAAUCCUGGUGAAAAAAUCUUCAGUGUCGAUUCUAGAAGACGCCGGUUGUAAUGAUGUGAUCGCAGAAUACUGUAUCGAUCAGGUGAACCAAUGGUCUAACUUUACCAUAGUUUUUCUCAUAACUGUCAUUUUCAGAGCUGAGUUGAAUGCUUUCUAAUGUAGUUUAAGCAUAAAGAAAUGGGACUAUACAUAGAUAGAUAUUGUAUAUGUUGUAGCUCGCAUGGGAAACAAAUCAGAUAUGUUGUCUAUUUUAUUUAUCAUUUGUAGUAACUUUUCUAAUUAAUAAUUAUGAGACUCAAAAUUUUCUAC